rnacentral:lncRNA from 1 species
GACUGAAUUUCAACAGCUACUAUGAAGGAAUUGAAAAAUGAUGGAUCUGAACAAAAGAGUUUCGAAAAGAACAGCAACCUACGACUGGAAUCUGAACAACAACAGAACUACGAUCCGAACCAGAACGGGCUUCGACUCGGCACCACAAACCACACCUCGAACGCCAAUCGACAAGUAAUCUCGGACAAAAACUCCAAACGGCACCGGAAUUUUGAAUCUACGCACGAACUCACCCUCAAAAUUCAAUCAAAUUUUCUGUCGUAAUGUUUCUGACUUUGAAACAGAAUUCAAAUAGAAGAAACUUAUUUUCUUUUGUUCUUAUAUAUAUGGAAAAAAAACAGAAUAAGAGAACACAAAAGAAAACUCUUAUUUUCAAAUGGAUUGAAAUUAGAAGAACAACCAAAAAAUCCGAAAACCCUAGCUCUUUCUCACAGUUUCUCCUCCUCUUUCUUCUGCCCGAAAAUCCCAAAUAUAUAGGAAGCCGAGAAACUUCUUCUUCUUUCCUCUCCAAGAAAAACCAAAAAUCUCCACAAAAUUCUCAGAAAAUAAAAACCAAAAUCUGAAAAUCUAUUCUAUUAGUGAGAUAAGAGAAAUUGAAGGAGUAGAUCGAGUGCAACUCAAUCCUACACACCCCAUUUUUCCUAUUUUCGCCUAAAAGAGUAAAUUCGAAAAACGAAAAAUAGAAACAAAAUGCGUAGAAUCAAAUUCUAAUGAUAAGGGAGGGACUAGGAGGGGACCAAUACUUACGUGAAAGUAAUUUCAGGUGGAUUUGGACAUGGGUCGCGGCAGAGUGGUGGAGAGAUGAGGAGAUGGGGGCGGAUGGUCUUGGGAGCUAGGGUUUGGGCAUUUAGGGUUAAGGCUAGGGUUAUAUUUGGGUGUGGGAAAACAAGGGAGGCUGUUAGAUUUGAAGAGAGGGACGACCGCUGUUAGAUGUGAAAAUGAGGUUAGUGGGUCGUUUGGGGCGGACUUGGGCUGCUAAGUUGGGUCAGGGUAGU